UAACUGUCCAUCUGCCAGACCUUCCUUGA
rnacentral:piRNA from 1 species